rnacentral:lncRNA from 1 species
UCUUAACAUCACAAUGGUUCUUCUAGCUCAGAGUUCCAAAGUCCUUCCACAGUCCUCCCCAAAACAUGGUCAGGUUGUCACAGGAAUUCCCCACUCCUGGUACCAAUUUGUCUAAGACAUGGGUUUUUAUUCCUGCACAAACAUCAUGAUCAAGAAACAAGUUGGGGAGGAAAGAGUUUAUUCAGCUUACACUUCCUCAUGCUGUUCAUCACCAAAGGAAGUCAGGACUGGAACUCAAGCAGGUCAGGAAGCAGGAGCUGAUGCAGAGGCCAUGGAGGGAUGUUACUUACUGUCUUGCUUCCCCUGGCUUGCUCAGCUUGCUUUCUUAUAGAACCCAAGUCUACCAGCCCAGGGAUGGCAUCACCCACAAUUGGCCCUCCCACCUUAAUCACUAAUUGAUAAAAUGCCCCACAGCUGGAUCUCAUGGAGGCAUUUUCCUCAAGGGAGGCUCCUUUCUCUAUAACUCCAGCUUGUGUCAAGUUGACACAAAACCAGUCAGUACACUUAACUCCCAGGAUACUGGGGAGACAACACAAAGGAUGGGUAGCCAGGGGGGUGGCUGCUCUGUCUUCAUGGAAAUCUCCACAGGGGAUUGGACCCUCCACUACAGGAUCAUGGACAGCUGCUCCCCCACAUGCCACCAAAAUGAUGUCUGCCUGAAGAAGAUGGAGAGUAGCCCUAGGCCUUUCGUGACCUCUUCUUGAGCUGUGUUGGUCCGCCCUGAGACUCCAUUACACAGCGUUAUUAAAAACUACUCAAAUUGAGCUGAUCCUGGCUUUCCAUCAUGUUCCGUCUGCCAGAAAUGUAAUAGAAUUGCUAAUUGAAUCACAGCUAUUAUGUUAGACCUUGAAAUUAAAAGAGGUAGAUUUCCAUUUUUAUUAAUCCUGAGUUUUAACUUCCUGUUAAAGUGUCAUUGUUUACAUCUUUAUAAUAAACUAUAUUUAAAUAUUAAUGUUAGCA